UGACCUCGAUCAGUAGAUCCGCUC
rnacentral:rRNA from 1 species